rnacentral:rRNA from 1 species
UNUNNGGAAGAACCUUACCUACCCNUGACAUCCUGNGAACCCUUCGGAGANGAAGGGGGCCUUCGGGAACGCAGAGACAGGUGNUGCAUGGCUGUUGUCAGCUUGUGUUGUGAAAUGUUGGGUUAAGUCCCGUAACGAGCGCAACCCUUGUCCCUAUUUGCCAGNGAUUCGGUCGGGAACUCUAGGGAGACUGCCGGUGACAAACCGGAGGAAGGUGGGGACGACGUCAAGUCAUCAUGGCCCUUACGGGUAGGGCUACACACGUGCUACAAUGGUCGGUACAAAGGGUUGCGAACUUGCGAGAGUGAGCCAAUCCCAGAAAGCUGAUCUCAGUUCGGAUCGGAGUCUGCAACUCGACUCCGUGAAGUCGGAAUCGCUAGUAAUGANUG